ACAAGGUUUCCGUAGGUAUGUAUCGACCCCUUCCCUCCCCACCGGCCUGGACUAACGAGACUGUAGGUGAACCUGCGGAAGGAUCAUUACUGAGUGAGGGUCUCCGAGCCCGACCUCCAACCCUUUGUCAAACUACUGUGUUGCUUCGGCGGGCCUGUCUUCGCGACUGCCGGGGAGGCGACUCCCGGGCGCGCGCCCGUCGGCGGCCCCUACAAACUCUGGUGAACGUGUCGUCUGAGUGUGGAUGAAUACCUAAAACUUUCAACAACGGAUCUCUUGGUUCUGGCAUCGAUGAAGAACGCAGCGAAAUGCGAUAAGUAAUGCGAAUUGCAGAAUUUCAGUGAGUCAUCGAAUCUUUGAACGCACAUUGCGCCCUUUGGCAUUCCGAAGGGCAUGCCUGUCCGAGCGUCAGUACAACCUCUCCGGCCCGGCUGGGUGUUGCGAUCGAGGUCGGGGUCGCCCCGACCGGUCCCAAAGACAACGACGGCGUCCGUGGGACUCUCGGUGCAACGAGCUUGGUGACAGGCACGCGGCGAGCAGGUCCCCCGGGGGCGGUCUGACCCUUUCUCUACGGUUGACCUCGGAUCAGGUAGGAAUACCCGCUGAACUUAAGCAUAU
rnacentral:rRNA from 1 species